rnacentral:pre_miRNA from 1 species
CUUUGGAGCGAUGUGUGUCAUGAUGGCGGUAUUUUGUGAUGCUAAUACGGUCUUGUCAAUGUUUAGGGGCAAAGGUGCAACUAUGCAACAUCCCUGGUGCGAGCUCUUGAUCGCGUAAGUGUUGCUAGUGCCCUCCACCCCUAAAUGUUGGCAAGACCUAAUUGGCGCACAACAUUGGGACCGACGCUGGAUCAGCAGAAGUCAAAAGACACAAUUGUGA